rnacentral:rRNA from 1 species
UACGGGGGGGGCAAGCGUUGUUCGGAAUUACUGGGCGUAAAGGGCUCGUAGGUGGCCAACUAAGUCAUGCGUGAAAUCCCUCGGCUUAACCGGGGAACUGCGUCUGAUACUGGAUGGCUUGAGUUUGGGAGAGGGAUGCGGAAUUCCAGGUGUAGCGGUGAAAUGCGUAGAUAUCUGGAGGAACACCGGUGGCGAAGGCGGCAUCCUGGACCGACACUGACGCUGAGGAGCGAAAGCCAGGGGAGCAAACGGG